GCUAAACGCGAAGAACCUUACCCACACUUGACAUGCCUCUUUGGACUUUCAGAGAUGAUUGUCUUCGGUUCGGCCGGGGAGUGCACAGGUGCUGCAUGGCUGUCGUCAGCUCGUGUCGUGAGAUGUUGGGUUAAGUCCCGCAACGAGCGCAACCCUUAUCGUAUGUUGCCAGCAUUUAGUUGGGCACUCAUGCGAGACUGCCGGUGACAAACCGGAGGAAGGUGGGGAUGACGUCAAGUCCUCAUGGCCCUUACGGCCAGGGCUACACACGUACUACAAUGGUCGGUACAGAGGGUUGCCAAACCGCAAGGUGGAGCCAAUCCCAGAAAGCCGAUCCCAGUCCGGAUCGGAGUCUGCAACUCGACUGCGUGAAGUCGGAAUCGCUAGUAAUCGUGAAUCAGAAUGUCACGGUGAAUACGUUCCCGGGUCUUGUACACACCG
rnacentral:rRNA from 1 species